CCUACGGGGGACAGCAGUAGGGAAUAUUGCUCAAUGGGGGAAACCCUGAAGCAGCAACGCCGCGUGGAGGAUGAAGGUUUUCGGAUUGUAAACUCCUUUUGAUAGAGAAGAUAAUGACGGUAUGUAACGAAUAAGCACCGGCCAACUCCGUGCCAGAAGCCGCGGUAAUACGGAGGGUGCAAGCGUGACUCGGAAUCACUGGGCGUAACGAGCGCGUAGGCGGGGUAGCAAGUCAGAUGUGAAAUCCUAUGGCUUAACCAUAGAACUGCAUUUGAAACUGUUAUUCUAGAGUAUAGGAGAGGUAGGUGGAAUUCUUGGUGUAGGGGUAAAAUGCGUAGAGAUCAAGAGGAAUACUCAUUGCGAAGGCGACCUGCUAGAACAUAACUGACGCUGAUGCGCGAAAGCGUGGGGAGCAAACAGGAUUAGAUACCCCUGUAGUC
rnacentral:rRNA from 1 species